rnacentral:misc_RNA from 1 species
UCCGAUUUAUCACCGGCAGUCUCGCUAGAGUGCCCAUCUUUACAUGCUGGCAACUAACAAUAAGGGUUGCGCUCGUUGCGGGACUUAACCCAACAUCUCACGACACGAGCUGACGACAACCAUGCACCACCUGUAUCCAUUGUCCCGAAGGACAUACCUAUCUCUAGGUACUUCAAUGGUAUGUCAAGCCCUGGUAAGGUUCUUCGCGUUGCUUCGAAUUAAACCACAUACUCCACUGCUUGUGCGGGCCCCCGUCAAUUCCUUUGAGUUUCAACCUUGCGGCCGUACUCCCCAGGUGGGAUACUUAUUGUGUUAACUGCGGCACAGAAGGGGUCGAUACCUCCUACACCUAGUAUCCAUCGUUUACAGCGUGGACUAC